rnacentral:misc_RNA from 1 species
GAUGAAGAACGCAGUGAAAUGCGAUAAGUAGUGUGAAUUGCAGAAUUCAGUGAAUCAUCGAAUCUUUGAACGCACAUUGCGCCCUUUGGUAUUCCAAAGGGCAUGCCUGUUCGAGCGUCAUUUGUACCCUCAAGCUUUGCUUGGUGUUGGGCGUCUUGUCUCUAGCUUUGCUGGAGACUCGCCUUAAAGUAAUUGGCAGCCGGCCUACUGGUUUCGGAGCGCAGCACAAGUCGCACUCUCUAUCAGCAAAGGUCUAGCAUCCAUUAAGCCUUUUUUUCAACUUUUGACCUCGGAUCAGGUAGGGAUACCCGCUGAAAUUAAGCAUAUCAAUAAGCGGAGGA